ACAGAUAUACAGAAUCCUACCUCCAUCCUCUACACAGCAUCUUCAACCAUCCCAUCACACCAUGAGGGGUAAAAAACACGCACCCAUCCCUACACACCAUAUAGUGUCCAUACGACACAUAACAAAAUAGUAUGCAACCAAGCUACCAGAAAAAUAGGCGAAAGGUCUACAUACAGAAAACUUCCUCCACAUAUACAAAUCCCAC
rnacentral:lncRNA from 1 species